rnacentral:rRNA from 1 species
AUUGAACGCUGGCGGCAGGCCUAACACAUGCAAGUCGAGCGGCAGCGGGAAAGUAGCUUGCUACUUUUGCCGGCGAGCGGCGGACGGGUGAGUAAUGCCUGGGAAAUUGCCCAGUCGAGGGGGAUAACAGUUGGAAACGACUGCUAAUACCGCAUACGCCCUACGGGGGAAAGCAGGGGACAUUCGGGCCUUGCGCGAUUGGAUAUGCCCAGGUGGGAUUAGCUAGUUGGUGAGGUAAUGGCUCACCAAGGCGACGAUCCCUAGCUGGUCUGAGAGGAUGAUCAGCCACACUGGAACUGAGACACGGUCCAGACUCCUACGGGAGGCAGCAGUGGGGAAUAUUGCACAAUGGGGGAAACCCUGAUGCAGCCAUGCCGCGUGUGUGAAGAAGGCCUUCGGGUUGUAAAGCACUUUCAGCGAGGAGGAAAGGUCAGUAGCUAAUAUCUGCUGACUGUGACGUUACUCGCAGAAGAAGCACCGGCUAACUCCGUGCCAGCAGCCGCAGUAACAC